UAGAGUUUGAUCAUGGCUCAGAUUGAACGCUGGCGGCAGGCCUAACACAUGCAAGUCGAGCGGAAACGACAACAUUGACUCUUCGGAGGAUUUGUUGGGCGUCGAGCGGCGGACGGGUGAGUAAUGCCUAGGAAAUUGCCUUGAUGUGGGGGAUAACCAUUGGAAACGAUGGCUAAUACCGCAUAAUGCCUACGGGCCAAAGAGGGGGACCUUUGGGCCUCUCGCGUCAAGAUAUGCCUAGGUGGGAUUAGCUAGUUGGUGAGGUAAUGGCUCACCAAGGCGACGAUCCCUAGCUGGUCUGAGAGGAUGAUCAGCCACACUGGAACUGAGACACGGUCCAGACUCCUACGGGAGGCAGCAGUGGGGAAUAUUGCACAAUGGGCGAAAGCCUGAUGCAGCCAUGCCGCGUGUAUGAAGAAGGCCUUCGGGUUGUAAAGUACUUUCAGUUGUGAGGAAGGGUGUGUAGUUAAUAGCUGCAUAUCUUGACGUUAGCAACAGAAGAAGCACCGGCUAACUCCGUGCCAGCAGCCGCGGUAAUACGGAGGGUGCGAGCGUUAAUCGGAAUUACUGGGCGUAAAGCGCAUGCAGGUGGUUCAUUAAGUCAGAUGUGAAAGCCCGGGGCUCAACCUCGGAACUGCAUUUGAAACUGGUGAACUAGAGUGCUGUAGAGGGGGUAGAAUUUCA
rnacentral:rRNA from 1 species